rnacentral:rRNA from 1 species
GAUGAACGCUGGCGGCGUGCCUAAUACAUGCAAGUCGAGCGAACUUUUGGGAGCUUGCUCGCAAAAGUUAGCGGCGGACGGGUGAGUAACACGUGGGUAACCUGCCUGUAAGACUGGGAUAACUUCGGGAAACUGGAGCUAAUACCGGAUAACAUUGAAGACCACAUGGUCGGCAAUGAAAAGGUGGCUUUUAGCGAGCACGUACAGAGGCACCCGAGGCGCAUUGGCUAGUUGGUGAGGUAAAUGCUCACCAAGGCGAGGAUGCGUAGGCGACCUGAGAGGGUGGUCGGCCACCCUGGGACUGGGACCCGGCCCAGACGCCUUCGGGAGGCAGCAGUAGGGCAUCUUCCGCAAUGGACGAAAGUCUUACGGAGCAACGCCGCGUGAGCGAAGAAGGCCUUCGGGUCGUAAAGCUCUGUUUUUAGGGAAGAACAAGUAUCGUUCGAAUAGGGCGGUACCUUGACGGUACCUAACCAGAAAGCCACGGCUAACUACGUG